rnacentral:snRNA from 2 species
AUACUUACCUGGACGGGGUCAAUGGGUGAUCACGAAGACACAUGGCCUAGGCUUGUGACUUUAAUUGCACUUUGGAGGGGUGCUUGCCUAAGGUCGGCCCAAGUGGUCGAGCCUACGUCAUAAUUUGUUGCUGAGGGCCCUGCGUUCGCGCGGCCCCUGC